rnacentral:lncRNA from 10 species
AAGACUCCGUGGGCGUAGGACCCUCCGAGCCAGGUGUGGGAUAUAGUCUCGUGGUGCGCCAUUUUUUAAGCCCGUCAGAAAAGCGCAGUAUUCGGGUGGGAGUGACCCUAUUUUCCAGGUGCGUCCAUCACCCCUUUCUUUGACUCGGAAAGGGAACUCCCUGACCCCUUGCGCUUCCCCAGUGAGGUAAUGCCUCACCCUGCUUCGGCUCGUGCACGGUGCGCGCACCCACUGACCUGCGCCCACUGUCUGGCGCUCCCUAGUGAGAUGAACCUGGUACCUCAGAUGGAAAUGCAGAAAUCACCCGUCUUCUGCAUCGCUCACGCUGGUAGCUGUAGACCGGAGCUGUUCCUAUUCGGCCAUCUUGGCUCUCCCUCGUCUUAUUGAUUGGAGAGCGAUUGAUUGGAGAGUGCAGACGUAUGCAGCAACAGGUUUGUCAGAUGUGGUGGUCAUUGCUCUUACUCCAGCUUUGCAUCCUAGAAUCAUUUGGAAGAUAUAUCUAAGAAAAAACAACUAAGACAAUUUAACACGACUGUAUUUGGAGAAAAAGUCCUUAAAGAGGCAAACUUAAAUAAGGCCAUCAGAGUGGGUCAUAGUCCAGUCAGACUGGGGUUCCUACAUGACAAGAUUAGGACACAAAGAGAGACACUGGGGACGCCCUUGAAGAGGGGAAAGACCAUGAGAAGACACAGCAAGAUGAUGGUUAUGUGCAAGCCAAGAAGCCAGGCCUCAGGAGAAACCAAACCUACAAUCCUUCUAUUGGUCAGGCUCUCUCAGACAAUAUCCAGGCAUUUACAGAAGUUUGAAGAACAUGUUAACAUCAAUAUUAAAAACAGCAGGAGGCAGCUGAAUGCCUAGGCAGACAGGGAUGAGUCCCCAGUGAAACUCCACCUUCAAGCCAAAGUAGCCUAAAACCCACGGCCCAAAGUGAAAACUUCUAUUCCUGUUGCCUGCUUUCUCUGGAUUGGUUCUUUCUGAAUAAUGUCUUUUGACCAGUUGAAUGUUGCCUUUUCCAAAAAUACCUACAGCCUGCCCUGUCCCCAUCCUGUGCCUUUAAAUUCCCCAUACUCAGUUAGUAGAGUGGGCAGACAGUUGGACUUUGGGGAAGAGAGUUAGCUUGACUUUGGGGAAUAGACAACUGGACUUUGAGGAGAAGAUGACCUCACUUCAAGAAAGACUACCUGCCCUUCCCAUUCACUCUCCAGCUCCCCUCUCCACUGAGAGCCAUUUCCACUGCUCAGUAUGAUUCUCUGCCUUCACAAUUCUUCAAGUCCCUAUGUGAUCUCAUUCUUCUUGAACAAGGACAAGAGCUCAGGAUCCAAUAAGUGUGGGUACCCAGAAAGGCAGUCCCACCAGCCCUUUGCCCUCACCAAUGGAAGGCAGUCACCCCAUGUCACAAGGCAAGGGGCCAACUGAGCUGUUAACACACAGCCGUCGGAAGACAACGGAAUUAAAGGAGCAAUGUAACGUCCCUUUGCUGUUCUCAUGAGAGUGAAUGAUUUCUCAGGAGAUACAGUUGUUUAGAAGUGUGCGUAUGUUUAUUGCAGCAUUAUUCACAAUAGCAAAGACUUGGAACCAACCCAAAUGUCCAACAAUGAUAGACUGGAUUA